GUUGAAGGCAGUCAACGACACCAAAAGGAGUUUACGUUAGAAGCCGAUUUAAUCACAAACAAGGUGCUGGGCAUGUGGUAGGACUCACAGAGUGACGCCUUCUGCUCCAUAUAGAGUACUAGGCUAUAACGAUUAAUUCAAAUAAUGUCAACUGGGUAACGCAAAGCAGUAAUGUCAACUGGGUAACAAAGGUAACGUGUGUUACAGAUAGGUAACGGGGAUACCAAGAAGAGAAUGGAAAACCGGCAGUGUGUUAGCGAACGUGGAACUGGAACAGCUUAAUAAACGAACAACUCUACAUUUGGCGCAGCCGGUAGGAUCGAGAGGAAGAACGGAGGAACAAUGGAAGACAAGUCAUUACGAUUGUAGACAGAGUGCUCAUCAAGUGUUUGGUUGAAAUGACCAACUUAUUGUUGCUAAGUUUUGAGAAGAAAGUGAAAUAAGUUAAAAAAAAUCAACAACAAUGAUUAUGCUAAUGAAACACUAAGUUAAUAUACUUAUCAAAGAAACAGGGAUAAGACCAAAUUUGGGUUAGAAGGAUUGAAUCACUAAAUUGGGAUAUGAAAUAUGCCGAAAAGAAUAUUGGUUGCGAGUACGAGAAAAGAAGUUCUUUAACGAGCACGUGUAAGAACUCCUCGCGAAAAAGAAAAAAAAGAAGCGAGCCCGGUUGAAAAAAUAUAAAGGAAAGAGAAAAAACCGAAGCGCAUAAAAAAAAAUGUUGUGAGUCCGAGGAGAGAAUACCUCGAAGCACACGUUUGAGCAAUACACAGGUACAGAAAAGCGAGUCCGGUAGAUAACCGAAGCGCAAAACAAAACAAAAAAAGAAACUUGUUUGCGAUUCCGAGAAAAGAACAAAAGAUUUUGUUGUGAGUCCGAGGAGAGAAUACCUCGAAGCACACGUUUGAGCAAUAAACAGGUAAAGAAAAACAGAAAAGCGAGUCCGGUAGAUAACCAAAGCGCUAAACAACAACAAAUACUUGUUUACGAGUCCGAGAAAAGAACAAAAGAUUUUGUUGUGAGUCCGAGGAGAGAAUACCUCGAAGCACACGUUGGAGCAAAACACAGGUACAGAAAUACGGAAAAGCGAGUCCGGAUCAAAAAGCGAAGCGCACCCUAAAGAUUUUAAACAAUGUAGGCACCGAAACACACAGUUCGAUAAUAUGCCGUGGUUUUAUAGAAUAGGCUGAAACAAAAUUUUCGGAGUACACUGGUGGAAUGAUGAAAUCUAGCGGAAGAUAAAGUUAUGGGGGGAAAGCAAGAGAGAAAUAUAAAUCAAAAGUGAUUAGGAAACGAAAGCAGUAGUGAGAAUAUGUUGAGAAUAGGAAGAGGAAUCCAAAACGAGGUUUUAUACGAAAUCUGUCCGCAAAAUAGGGAGAAGCGUAAUGGGAUAUCCACUAUGGAUUAUCAUUACGGUAGCUUGGCGCAACUCAAAUGUGGAUUUUUGUUUACAUUUUUCUACAGAUGGAACAGCACUUCCAGAUGGAACCAUUUAACGAUGCCGUUGAUAGUUCGGCGCUGCGCCGUGAGUGGGAAGAGUGGCAUAGAUCAUGCGAGAUAGUCUUGGAGUUAAAGCAGACUGAAUCGCAACAUGAGAAGCUGCUUUUUAUGUUGGCCCGUGGAGGCAGAGGAUUGCAACGUAUCUACUAUAAUUUAGCACCUGUAGUGGGAGAAGUUGUCCCAGAACCUCCCAAACCACCAAUGGCACCAAAAGUAAUUCCGGAGUAUGAUAACGCAGUUAAAAGACUCAACACGUUCUUUAUUGGAAAACGCAAUGAAAGGGUUGAGCUAGAGAUAUUCCGCGCGCUAAAACAAAAGCUCGAUGAACCCUUUAGCCGCUACAUGCUACGUCUACAAACCCAAGCGCGUAGUUGUGAUUUUGGUGCUCGUGAAGAAAAAGAAAUUCUUCAGCAAAUAACUGUUGGAGCUAGCGAUGAGCGAGUAAGAGACAAAGGCCUGGAAGGAGUAAUGGAUUUGAACAAUCUGAUAAAUUAUGCGAUCAAUCGAGAAGUGCUAGUGAAACAAAAAGAAAAAUCUCAUCCCUUUAAGGGAGAAAACAGUGCGCUGGCUAUUAAUUAUACGGCGGAAAGGAAAACGUCAUCGACGGGGAACGAUUUUCGAGGACGAGAUUUGAGGACAGGUUAUAGACCUUCUCAGGAUUGCGGACGAUGCGGACGAUGCGGACAGAGCGAAGGACUGUCCGGCUAGAAAUUCUCGAUGCAACAAGUGUGGACAGUUGGGACACUUUGCAAGGAAGUGCACAGAAGGGCAAAAUAGGCGGACAACACAGGGAAUCAACCGGUACCGAUGGCAGAAACCGGAAGUGGCUAAUGCAUUGUGUAAUGAAUCGCCCCCGGCUAUAGAAAAGCACCAAAACACCAAUGAUGGAAUGAUUGUGGGACACAUCGAUAAAAUACCUGUGGCAGCCGUAUCCAUUUGUGCACCGUACUGUACCACACGAUACACGAUACACGACACGAUACACGACACGAUGCAUGAUACACGACAGGAUACACGAUACACGAUACACGCUACACACUACGCGCUAAAUCUAACACUUAUACAAAUUCAUAAUUGUAAGGUAACGGUAAUUGUAAUAAAAUAGUUUGAGUCUUAUCUCGUAUCUCGAA